rnacentral:rRNA from 1 species
GUGUCAGCAGCCGCGGUAAUACGUAGGGUGCAGGCGUUAAUCGGAAUUACUGGGCGUAAAGCGUGCGCAGGCGGUUUCUUAAGUCAGAUGUGAAAGCCCCGGGCUUAACCUGGGAACUGCGUUUGAAACUGGGAGACUUGAGUGUGGCAGAGGGGGGUGGAAUUCCACGUGUAGCAGUGAAAUGCGUAGAUAUGUGGAGGAACACCGAUGGCGAAGGCAGCCCCCUGGGUUAACACUGACGCUCAUGCACGAAAGCGUGGGGAGCAAACAGGAUUAGAAACCCCCGUAGUCC